AGAUUAAAGGAGGUCAGCUGGUC
rnacentral:siRNA from 1 species